rnacentral:rRNA from 1 species
GGGACCGCACAAGCAGCGGAGCGUGUGUUUAAUUCGUUGCUACACGAAGAACCUUACCUGGGUUUGACAUAUAGGUUGUAGGGAACCGAAAAGGGACCGACCCUUCGGGGAGCCUAUACAGGUGUUGCAUGGCUGUCGUCAGCUCGUGUCGUGAGAUGUUCGGUUAAGUCCGCUAACGAGCGCAACCCUCGUCGUAUGUUAUAUGUGUCAUACGAGACUGCCGGUAAAAGCCGGAGGAAGGUGAGGAUGAUGUCAAGUCAGCAUGACCUUUAUAUCCAGGGCUACACACACGCUACAAUGGUCUGUACAAUGGGUAGCCAAGCCGCGAGGCGGAGCCAAUCCUGAAAGCAGGCCUCAGUUCAGAUUGCAGUCUGCAACUCGACUGCAUGAAGCCGGAGUUGCUAGUAACCGCAGGUCAGCAAUACUGCGGUGAAUACGUUCCCGGGUCUU